AAUAAAGUGCCUGAUUAAAGGGAUAUCUUGAUAGGAUAUAUCAUGCUUAACUAGCCUUUAUUA
rnacentral:tRNA from 1 species